AAGACACUAGUAAAACGCCAUUACUCUGCCUUGUCAAGGCAAAAUUGCGGGUUAAACCCCCGCGUGUCUUG
rnacentral:tRNA from 2 species